UGGACAAACUGAUGGCAGUUUCUGUAAAU
rnacentral:piRNA from 1 species